rnacentral:rRNA from 1 species
GAUGAACGCUGGCGGCGUGCCUAAUACAUGCAAGUCGAGCGAACAGAUGAGAAGCUUGCUUCUCUGAUGUUAGCGGCGGACGGGUGAGUAACACGUGGGUAACCUACCUAUAAGACUGGGAUAACUCCGGGAAACCGGGGCUAAUACCGGAUAAUAUUUUAAACCGCAUGGUUCAAUAGUGAAAGACGGUUUCGGCUGUCACUUAUAGAUGGACCCGCGCCGUAUUAGCUAGUUGGUAAGGUAACGGCUUACCAAGGCGACGUUACGUAGCCGACCUGAGAGGGUGAUCGGCCACACUGGAGCUGAGACACGGUCCAGACUCCUACGGGAGGCAGCAGUAGGGAAUCUUCCGCAAUGGGCGAACGCCUGACGAAGCAACGCCGCGUGAGUGAUGAAGGUCUUCGGAUCGUAAACCUCUGUUGUUAGGGAAGAACAAAUUUGUUAGUAACUGAACAAGUCUUGACGGUACCUAACCAGAAAGCCACGGCUAACUACGUGCCAGCCGCCGUAAUAC